AGGGCAUCUGGUGGAUGCCUUGGCACUGAGAGGCGAUGAAGGACGUAGCACGCUGCGAUAAGCCGCGGGGAGGGGCGAGCACCCGUUGAUCCGCGGAUUUCCGAAUGGGGAAACCCGGCCCUUUAGGGGUCAUCGCCGCCUGAAUCCAUAGGGCGGCGAGGCGAACCCGGCGAACUGAAACAUCUAAGUAGCCGGAGGAAAGGACAUCAACCGAGACUCCGUUAGUAGUGGCGAGCGAACGCGGACCAGGCCAGUGGCCGUUCUGUUGCAACCGGAACCGUCUGGAAAGGCGGGCGAGACUGGGUGAUAGCCCCGUACGGGUCAACAGCGGAACGGUCCUCGAGUAGGGCGGGACACGUGAAAUCCUGUCUGAACAUGGGGGGACCACCCUCCAAGCCUAAGUACUCCUCAGUGACCGAUAGUGAACCAGUACCGUGAGGGAAAGGUGAAAAGCACCCCGAUGAGGGGAGUGAAACAGUCCCUGAAACCGGAUGCCUACAAGCAGUCGGAGCCUCCUUGCGGGGUGACGGCGUACCUUUUGUAUAAUGGGUCAGCGACUUCGUCUUGCGAGCAAGCUUAAGCCGAUAGGUGGAGGCGCAGCGAAAGCGAGUCUGAAUAGGGCGCAUGAGUUCGUAGGAUGAGACCCGAAACCGAGUGAUCUAGCCAUGGGCAGGUUGAAGGUGCGGUAACACGCACUGGAGGACCGAACCCACGUCUGUUGAAAAAGACGGGGAUGACCUGUGGUUAGGGGUGAAAGGCCAAUCAAACUCGGAAAUAGCUGGUUCUCCGCGAAAUCUAUUUAGGUAGAGCGUCGAUCGCUCACCGCCGGGGGUAGAGCACUGGAUGGGCUAGGGGGGCGCGAGCCUUACCAAACCUAACCAAACUCCGAAUACCGGCGAGUGGAGGUCGGCAGACAGACCAUGGGUGCUAAGGUCCGUGGUCGAGAGGGAAACAGCCCAGACCGCCAGCUAAGGUCCCCCAGUCAUGGCUAAGUGGGAAAGGAUGUGGGAAGACCAAGACAACCAGGAGGUUGGCUUAGAAGCAGCCAUCCUUUAAAGAAAGCGUAAUAGCUCACUGGUCUAGACAAGUCGUCCCGCGCCGAAAAUGUAACGGGGCUAAAGCCAUGCACCGAAGCUGCGGAUGUGGUCCUUCGGGACCACGUGGUAGCGGAGCGUUCCGUAGGCCUGCGAAGGGGUUCGCGCGAGCGGCCCUGGAGGCAUCGGAAGCGAGAAUGCUGACAUGAGUAGCGAUAAAGCGUGUGAGAAACACGCUCGCCGAAAGUCCAAGGGUUCCUGCGCAAGGUUAAUCCGCGCAGGGUGAGCCGGCCCCUAAGGCGAGGGCGAAAGCCGUAGUCGAUGGGAACGGGGUUAAUAGUCCCCGGCCUGCUGGACGUGACGAAUGCCGUAAGUCGUCUCCGCUUACUGGAUUGCGGGGGCGGCGAAGGCGUUCCGGGAAAUAGCGCCAGCGAUAUAGACCGUACCCGAAACCGACACAGGUGGACUGGUAGAGCAUACCAAGGCGCUUGAGAGAAUGGUGUUGAAGGAACUCGGCAAAAUGCCCCCGUAACUUCGGGAGAAGGGGGCCCCGUUCCUGGGCAACCAGGGGCGGGGGGCACAGACCAGGGGGUGGCGACUGUUUACUAAAAACACAGGGCUCUGCGAAGCCGCCAAGGCGACGUAUAGGGUCUGACGCCUGCCCGGUGCCGGAAGGUUAAGAGGAGGGGUUCACGCUCUGAAUCGAAGCCCCGGUAAACGGCGGCCGUAACUAUAACGGUCCUAAGGUAGCGAAAUUCCUUGUCGGGUAAGUUCCGACCUGCACGAAUGGCGUAACGACUUCCCCGCUGUCUCCAACACCAACUCAGCGAAAUUGAAUUCUCCGUGAAGAUGCGGAGUACCCGCGGUUAGACGGAAAGACCCCGUGCACCUUUACUACAGCUUUGCAGUGGUACUAGGGAAUGGAUGUGUAGGAUAGGCGGGAGCCUAGGAAGCCGGGGCGCCAGCUCCGGUGGAGGCAGCCUUGAAAUACCGCCCUUCUGUUUCCUGGUAUCUAACCGCGGCCCCUGAACCGGGGUCCGGGACCCUGCAUGGCGGGUAGUUUGACUGGGGCGGUCGCCUCCCAAAGAGUAACGGAGGCGCGCGAUGGUGGGCUCAAGCUGGUCGGAAAUCAGCUGUCGAGUGCAAUGGCAUAAGCCCGCCUGACUGCGAGACUGACAAGUCGAGCAGAGACGAAAGUCGGUCAUAGUGAUCCGGUGGUCCCACGUGGACGGGCCAUCGCUCAACGGAUAAAAGGUACGCCGGGGAUAACAGGCUGAUGACCCCCAAGAGUCCAUAUCGACGGGGUCGUUUGGCACCUCGAUGUCGGCUCAUCACAUCCUGGGGCUGGAGCAGGUCCCAAGGGUAUGGCUGUUCGCCAUUUAAAGUGGUACGUGAGCUGGGUUUAGAACGUCGUGAGACAGUUCGGUCCCUAUCUGCCGUGGGUGUUGGAGACUUGAGAGGAUCUGUCCCUAGUACGAGAGGACCGGGAUGGACGCACCUCUGGUGUACCGGUUGUCGCGCCAGCGGCACCGCCGGGUAGCUAAGUGCGGCCGGGAUAACCGCUGAAAGCAUCUAAGCGGGAACCCCCCCUCGAGACCAGGUCUCCCUGAAGAGCCGUGGAAGACGACCACGUCGAUAGGCCGGGUGUGGACGCGCGGCAACGCGUGAAGCUAACCGGUACUAAUCGCUCGAUCGGCUUGAUC
rnacentral:rRNA from 1 species